CAAAGCGACGAUCGGUAGCCGGGUUGAGAGACUGAACGGCCACAUUGGGACUGAGACACGGCCCAGACUCCUACGGGAGGCAGCAGUGGGGGAUAUUGCACAAUGGGCGAAAGCCUGAUGCAGCAAUGCCGCGUGAGGGAAGACGGUCUUCGGAUUGUAAACCUCUGUCCUUGGUGAAGAUAAUGACGGUAGCCAAGGAGGAAGCUCCGGCUAACUAC
rnacentral:rRNA from 1 species